UAUCCCUACGGGAGGCAGCAGUGGGGGAUAUUGCACAAUGGGGGGAACCCUGAUGCAGCGACGCCGCGUGGGUGAAGAAGCGCCUCGGCGCGUAAAGCCCUGUCAGCAGGGAAGAAAAUGACGGUACCUGAAGAAGAAGCCCCGGCUAACUACGUGCCAGCAGCCGCGGUAAUACGCAGGGGGCAAGCGUUAUCCGGAUUUACUGGGCGUAAAGGGGGCGCAGACGGCGAUGCAAGCCAGGAGUGAAAGCCCGGGGCACAACCCCGGGACUGCCCUUGGAACUGCGGGGCUGGAGCGCAGGAGGG
rnacentral:rRNA from 1 species